rnacentral:rRNA from 1 species
GUGAGUAGUUCAGAGUUUGAUCCUGGCUCAGGAUGAACGCUGGCGGCGUGCUUAACACAUGCAAGUCGAACGAAGCACUUACAAUUGAUUCUUCGGAUGAGAGAGUUUGUGACUGAGUGGCGGACGGGUGAGUAACGCGUGGGUAACCUGCCUCAUACAGGGGGAUAACAGUUAGAAAUGACUGCUAAUACCGCAUAAGCGCACGGUAUCGCAUGAUACCGUGUGAAAAACUCCGGUGGUAUGAGAUGGACCCGCGUCUGAUUAGCUAGUUGGUGAGGUAACGGCUCACCAAGGCGACGAUCAGUAGCCGGCCUGAGAGGGUGAACGGCCACAUUGGGACUGAGACACGGCCCAA